AUGAGCUCACUGGUUCUACUGCUGGCCACCCUGGGGCUCCUGGUUCAGGGUUCAUCAGGACAAAUCACCCUGACUCAGUCUCCUGAAUCUCAGUCUGUUGUUCCAGGACAGACUGUCUCCAUCAGAUGUAAAACCAGUUCAGAUGUUAGUAGCUCACUCCACUGGUACCUUCAGAAACCUGGAGAAGCUCCUAAACUCCUGAUUUAUUAUGCUACAAGCCGUCAGUCUGGAGUUCCAGGUCGUUUCAGUGGAAGUGGAUAUGGGACUGACUUCACUCUGACCAUCAGUGGAGUUCAGGCUGAAGAUUCAGGAGUUUACUACUGUCAGCAGGGUUACAGCAGCCCGUUCACACAGUGAUACAACGUCGUACAAAAACCUCCCUCAGCUGGAGAGGAACUGAUCUGAAUCAACAGCUGCACUCAAACUAAAACUAAAGGCUUUACUAAAAAUAAGUAGUUAAUAAUAAUUCACUUUGAAUAUUUGAACAUUAAAUACACUGUACAUAACAAAAAGUUAUAUUUUUAAUGUAUUCACUCAAACAGGGUUUGAAACAUCUUGUUGCACAUUGAAGCAGCAGGAUGAUACUGAUGAAACUCUUGAACUAUGAUUUCACUUCUUUGAAAAGUUAAUUCGAUGCAGUGUGCUGACAAAUGAACACUAAGCUUGUUGACAUUAGUUUAAUGACUUACCGCCUGUUAUAGAAACUCAAACAUUCAUAAAUAAUAGCAUAAAUUUAUACCUCAACGAUAUUUCAAUUUUUUUUACAAAAAUACGAAUCAUCUCUCAAACAUGUUUUAUUCAUUUUAUUUUAGUUCAGCAAAAUUGUAUUUAAUGACUGAGACCAAUGAUUUAUGAAGUGUGGAAUUCAGUAACACUUUCAUCUUUUUCCAUCUUUCAUUUGUCUUUGUGUUUGUGGAUCUUCAGCAGAAGCAGGAUUGAAAGCAGGGGUCACCA